CAUGUAUCUCUUUCUAUGCUGAUUUCGAUUGGCUGUGAUAACAUGCAGGAUAAAUGAGCCUUAAAUUCCUUAUUUUUACAGGGACACAUUUUACAUUUAAACCACCGAAUACAUGUUACCGUUUUGAAAUCAUGACAUUUACUUGCAUGGGAGUAUGUAUACAUUGUGGUAUUAGCUUGUCUCUGAUCUGUAGUAUCUGAAGGCUUCGUGUGGCUGAGCACUGUCCGUGUUACCUGUCCCGCCGCUGGCUGUGGCCUCCACAUAGCUCUCGGGGACUUUGGGGAAGGCGUCCAACUCCUUCACUAGAGUCAUAGCCUUCUUCUUGGUGAGCCUCUUCAUGUUAGGAGCGGAAGUGGAGCAGCUUCAGGUACAGAGUCCGGACCCUCGUCCUGCAGGACAGCUGUCUCUAAGCCAUCGGAGGUAGGCGUGUCAGGAAGCUCUUGAGAGAGAUCUUCAGAGCAUCUGCUCACAGUGGGUGAGAUGACAUCUGGACUUGUGUCACAGGACUCUGUGCUUUGCUCCGAAGUGGCUAUUGUAAUGGCUGUAGCAGCACUGGGGGGAACUGGAUCAAACUCAUCGUCGUCGUCCCCCAGGAUGGGCGAUUCAUGAAUAUCUGACAGACAAACAUAAAUAUCUCAGACAAGAUGUUUUAGGGAAGUCCACUGAUGUUAUAAAAUGACAAAUGGAAAUAAAUUGUAACUUACUGCUGAAAGCUUCUGGGUACUGCUUAGCAAUCUUCCCUUUUAGUGUCCUAUGAAAGCAAAGGAGGCCAAUAAACAGAGAUGUCUGAA